rnacentral:rRNA from 1 species
AUGAAUCGGUUGGAGGCAGUAGAUCAAAAGGAGACGCAGUUGGAGCAAGUAAGAGUAUGCACUACGAUAGGGAUAGAGUGCAUGGACCCUAACCCAAAGAAGAGACCGUUUGCACAUCAUAUAGUCAAUAAGCUUGAUAAAACGGCAAGUAUCGUCGAAACUGGCAUCACUAGUCCAUCUGUUGAGCAGCAGGUUAGAUCCCUAAAAGAACAACACAGUCAAAGGAAAAUUGUGGAUCUUUCAUUUGAGUAUCUCAUAAAAGAUAUGAAUGGGCGCACUAAAACGGAAGAACUCAUGGAAUUUAUUGGGGCAUUUAAAGAUCAUUGGCGGCACGCGAAAGAACAUCGGUGGUCACUACGGGGAGUGCAUCGUACAAAGCAAAAUACCAGCCAACAACAAGGGGCAAGUAUUUCUAGCUCUAACUCUGUUGUGCUCAACAAGUUGAACAUCUUUAGUACAAAAGCACGCAGGAAUUAUGCCAGGAAUGGUGGGCCUAUGCUUGAGAAGAUAGACAUGUUGAAACUUUUCAAGAAGGAGGAGCUUAAGCCAGCUAUUAAGGACAAGAAUCGUAUUGGAAGAGAUGUCUUUGAAGAAGUUUACAUAGGCCUUGUUGAUAGAGUACCAGUCAUAGUAAAGAAGCAGAUUAGUGGUAUUGUGCUACAAAAUGGACAGUUUGCAAAGGAAGUCAUUAUCCAAUCUCAAGUCCUCCACAAGAACAUUGUUAGGCUCAUAGGUUGUUGCGUGGAAGUUGACAUCCCGAUGCUAGUAUAUGAGUAUCUCUCCAAUGACAGCCUCCAUGACAUUCUUCACAACAACUGCAAGGUACGUCUCAACUUGGGCGUGCGUUUAAAUAUUGCCACAGAAUCAGCACGUGGUCUAGCUUAUAUGCAUUCAAGGCACAAUAUCUUACAUGGUAAUAUUAAAUCAGAAAAUAUACUCUUGGAUGACCAUUUUGUGCCAAAGAUCUCAAAUUUUUGCAUAUCAAGAUUGACCGGGAGAGGCUACAAACACACCAGAAUAGCCAAGGGUGACGAUGCUUAUAUGGAUCCAGUAUACCUACAAACAGGCCUACUUAGCGAAUAUAGUGAUGUGUACAGUUUUGGAGUCGUUAUAUUGGAACUUCUUAGCAGGAAGAAGGCCACACACUCUGACAAUAAUAGCUUAGUAAGGAAUUUCCUUGAGAAUCACAAGCUGAGUAGGAAAUCAACCGAGCUAUUUGAUGAGAAAAUUGCAGUGGUGGAGAAUCUGGAGCUUCUUUGA